CCAACUUAAAAGGGACAUUUUGCUGAAUGGAGCAGCGGACCUGUCUGUUACUAUCAGAGUCUCUGUCCUGCACGUUAAUGAUGCCCACCUCUGUACCAGGUGACACGUUCUCAGGUAUGGGGUUCGUCAGUGAUUUCAGGUAUAUAACCGGAGCGUUGUCGUUUAUAUCUGUUAUAUCAAUUAUGACUUUGGCAUAUGAGGUCAAUCCCAAGCCAUCUUUCGCUGUGACACGCAGUUCAUACGAUGUCGCCAUUUCAAAAUCAACUGCUCUUUUUAAUUGUAUUUCCCCUGUCUUAUGAUCAAUGGCGAAUAUUGACCCCAUAUCUUCUGAGAUGUGUCCAAAAUCAUAUAUAACAUCCCCAUUUAAUCCCUCAUCUGCAUCAGUAGCGCUCACUGCUAGAACAAUGGUAUCCAGUGGAGAAUUUUCAGGCAGACUGGCUUUGUAAACGGCCUGGCUGAACACUGGUACAUUAUCAUUAGCAUCCAGUACAGUGACGUGAAUAACUACUGUACCUGAUCUCUGAGGAGAGCCUCCAUCCAGAGCUGUAAGGAGCAGAUUCAUUUCUUUCACAUUUUCACGGUCAAGCUCAUGGUUAAGAACGAGCUCCACAGAACUUGUUCCAACGCCCAGAACAAAAUUAUCAUUCUUUUGGAGGCUGUAGGUCUGAACUGAAUAUUUACCGACGUCCGCGUCAUGUGCUUCCUCUAUUGGAAAACGAGCUCCCUUAUCUGCCGAUUCACUGAUAUCUAUUUGGAUCAACUCCUUGUUAAACUGUGGUGAAUUAUCGUUUAUAUCCUGCACAUGUAGACUAAUCCUGUGCAGUUCCAACGGAUUCUCUAACAUCAGUUCCUGUUUCAAAACGCAGGAUGCUUUGUCUCCACAAAGGCCCUCUCUGUCGAUUCUCUCUGCAAGAAUUAGAUCCCCAUUAUGGAGGUUUAUGUCACAAAAACGUUUAUCGCUCUCCUCAGUGUCAAUGCGGGCCUUUCGGGUCGAUAGUCCGUUCUUUUGGAGACCUAAUUCCUUAACAAUGUUUCCGAUCACAGAUCCGCGUUUCAUCUCCUCCGGAAAAGAAUAGCUGAUAUCUCCAUUGGUGACAUGAAGAGAGAACAGCACCAAGCCGAGGGCAAAGCGUUGUAAUCCUAGCAUCGUGAAAGCCAUCACCAACCCGAACUGGAAUAGUAAAUACUUCUUAGUGCAGGAAAAAUGUCCGAAAAAAGGACUUCAACCAACAACAAGGAGCCCGUGCCUCUCUGGACGAUCAACUACAGCACCUUCAGUGAUUAUAGGUUGGUAACAGUGGGUGGAUGUCGACACACCAUGUAUUACAGCUGGUGCACAGCGACAUCGUGAGUCUCCUCUAGAGACUGCAUACUGCAACAAACAGCAUGUAUGCAAACUGCAUAUCUUUAAACAACCGCACAACAACAGCAGGACGAGUACGUUUGUUUCAAGGAUAUAUAAUGUAACAAAAAGAGUUCAGACAUGUUAGGAAGAUCAAACAAAAACGGUCCUUUCAAAACUAACAGAUUUCAAGUACUUACACCCCAAAAAACGGAAGACAAUAAAGUGAGUUUUCUCAACACUAUUUCAGUUUUGCACAAGCUCUCAAAUGUUUCCAACAACCAGAAUAUUUGGCAAAAACCCAGAGACUUGACAGCAAAAACCACCUGAAACAUCCAAAGUGAACAUUAAUUCACAAAAGAGGAAAUAAAAUAUGCAUUUAUGGAAAAAUCUGAAAUUUCAAGAGCUAGAUUCCAUUUUACCAAGAAACCAACAUAGAUAUUACACUCGUAAUUAUCAUAGGAAUCUACAGCAUGUACACUAUCUGAACUACGGGGGGGGGGGGGGGCUAAAUACAUGGCAGACAACACCACAAACCCCUGACAGAAUUGAGCUUUAUAUAAUUUACAGAGUAUGGAUCAUGUAAAACUGAAAAAGUCCUUUUAUAGCUUUGAAAGCUUGACACUAAAAACUAGCAUCAGGUUCUUUGUUUUAAAUUAUGAAAGGGCCACAGGACUGUGAUUUCAGGAAGCGGAUCUUAAAAAUUUUGCAUUUUUAACAAUGUAGGAGAAAUGCAGAGUGAAUAUGUAGUGUAAUCUGAGAAAAAAAAUCAACUAAAAAUCAGUCCUUCAGGUGAUCACUACCUUAAGUGGCUAUUAAAGAAAGCCAAAUGAUAUUUUGUCAGAAUUUGUCAACAAAGCUGAUGACAAAUAUCCAGAAUAAGUCUCCCACUGUUGUUGUGUGAGGGAAAAAGUAGGAAAGAGGAAGGGAGGGAAAGAAAGAUAUACAGAUGUGAAAAGUUCCAAAAUAGCUAAGGCUUUAAAAGGAAAUACACAAAACGAAGUAAAUGACACUUCAAUGGGCCUCUCCAACAUCAAAAGAAAACCUUACAAAUAUUGCAGAUGAGAAGAGUCAUUUGCAUUGGAUACAGUCAAGAUUAAAAAAAAAUCGACAAGUUACUGCAGUCAAUCCACUGCAAUCAGAUUUACCAUAAACUCAGAAAGUACUGUUAAAUAAUCAGAUACCUACACAAACUAAAUGUAUUUGUUCGUAUUUCAGGUGAGUCGGCAUAGUCACCAAACACUUCAGCAAAGUCCUUCAAGCUUUUCUUUGAGUCUGGUCAACAGGUACUGUGCUGUCAUUGUUUGAUGACACAAACUUAUAGUCACUGGUUUAAGACUCUGUUGUCAGAUAAAAUAAUAACCAUAAGCCUGAGCAGGCAUGAAACAGUGUUGAGCAUACCACUGCAGAGUUAAUAGAUCCAUACAAAAAGGGGUAAACUUCGUGUUUUGGAAGCUGUCUUUUUUUAAGAAGGGAUGCCACCUAGGGUCUUAUAAGGUACACUGUAGAUAACAGCUCAUGGCUUUGAUUGGUGCAACUUCAUAAAAACUGAAAAAAAACAACAACACCAAAGACACAUAACAAAUCUCUCAUUAUUCAACAGAGACUGUAGAGAAUUGCUUGUUGAAGACACUUCUGCAUCACAGCAAACCUGUUACUUCAUCAAAAAUAAUCAGAUUACUGCUGCAAAAAUUAUGCAAAUAUUCUUGUCUUAAUUGUCCAACUGUGACUUCCAAUAUAACUUAAAGCACUGAACGUAUACUUUUUCAAUGAAAAACAAAUUACAAUCUCAGAAAAGCAAAGAUUUAAAGACAAGAACAAUAAAGACUGAUGGUAUGUGUCCUGGAAAACUUGCUCAAGUAAGAAACUGGGUUUCAGAACCAAGGACAGAGAUAAAAAGAAAAAAAAAGUUCUACACAGAAAAAAAAAACAGCCAACUCAAGCAAAGCAGAGGAAACUCACAAAUAAACGACAAACCUAAAAAUUUACAUUAAAAACGGACUGUUAAAGUGUGAAGUGUUGGAUUACAACACGCUCUUGUAUCAAACUGUCUUGCAAGGUUUCCUACCUCAGGAGAGUCGUCACAGUCUCCAAACACUUCUGCAAAGUCUGAUGGGCUUUUCCUCAGAGUCUGGUCAGCUGGCAGUGUGUUGUCAUUGUACGAUGACACAAACUUAAAGUCACUGGUUCGAGACCCUGUUGUCAGGUAGGCGUCAUAAUUGUAAGCGCUGCGUAAAGUUCCUGUGCCGUCAACAUCUGCGUAAUUAGGAGGGAGAUACGCGCUGGGGAUGGCCACUGCUCCGUCAAACAACAGUCUGGGCUUUCUCCUGCGACAAAACCUCACACCGAGGAUGAUGAUGAUGAAGGUCAGAAAAAACGUCGACACACACACCAGCGCGAUGAUCAGAUAAGAGGUCAGUUUGGAGUUCUUCUCAUCAUAAGAAAUGUCCUUCAGUUCUGGCACCUCAGCCAAGUUAUCAGAAAUCAGUAAAUACAUGGAACAGGUGGCAGACAGAGAGGGCUGCCCGUUAUCUUUCACUGACACUACAAGAUUCUGUUUCAUGCUGUCAGAUUCAGAAAUGUCCCGCUGGGUCCUGAUCUCUCCACUGUGGACACCAAUAGUGAAAAGUCCCGGAUCAGUGGAUUUCACUAUCUGAUACGACAGCCAAGCGUUCUGUCCAGAGUCCGCGUCCACCGCUAUCACUUUGGACACCAGAGAGCCUCCGUGAGCAGCUUUGGGGACCAGCUCGGUCAUGAACGACUUGCCCUCUGGUCCGGGGUACAGGAUCUGAGGAGAGUUGUCAUUCACAUCUGAUAUGAACACACUCACGGUCACGUUGCUGCUGAGAGGAGGAGAACCGUUGUCUCUGGCCAUCACCUGAACUUUGAAGCUCCGGAACUGUUCAUAAUCAAACGACCUCACAGCGUGGAUCACCCCCGUGUCUCCGUUCACGGACACAUAGGAGGACACCGGGGCACCGUUCACCUCACCGCCUAACAGAGAAUAAAUCACUGUACCGUUCUGUCUCCAGUCGGGGUCUCGAGCACUCACGGAACAUAAAGUGGAGCCAGCUUUGUUAUUCUCACUCACAUAUGCGCUGUACGACUGCUCCUCAAACACAGGUGGGUUGUCGUUGAUGUCUGCUACAGAUAACUGAACAGUUUUAGACGACGACAGAGGUGGAGAGCCCUCGUCAGUGGCACUGAUUGUAAUGUUGUAAUCAGACACUAGUUCACGGUCCAGUUGUCCUGUGCUCACCAGAGAAUAAUAGUUUUUAAUUGAAGGAACCAACUUAAAAGGGACAUUUUGCUGAAUGGAGCAGCGGACCUGUCUGUUACUAUCAGAGUCUCUGUCCUGCACGUUAAUGAUGCCCACCUCUGUACCAGGUGACACGUUCUCAGGUAUGGGGUUAGUCAGUGAUUUCAGGUAAAUUACCGGAGCAUUAUCAUUCACAUCAGUAAUAUCAAUAAUUACUUUGGCAUAUGAAGCCAAACCCAAGCCAUCUUUCGCUGUGACACGCAGUUCAAACGAUGUCGUUGUUUCAAAAUCAACUGCUCUUUUUAAUUGUAUUUCUCCUGUCUUAUGAUCAAUGGCAAAUAUCGACCUCAUAUCUUCUGAGAUGUGUCCAAAAUCAUAUGUAACAUCUCCAUUCAAUCCCUCAUCUGCAUCAGUAGCGCUAACUGCUAGAACAAUGGUAUCCAGUGGAGAGUUUUCAGGCAGACUGGCUUUGUAAACGGCCUGACUGAACACUGGUUUAUUAUCAUUAGCAUCCAGUACAGUGACGUGAAUAACUACUGUACCUGAUCUCUGAGGAGAGCCUCCAUCCAGAGCUGUAAGGAGCAGAUUCAUUUCUUUCACAUUUUCACGGUCAAGCUCAUGGUUAAGAACGAGCUCCACAGAGUUUGUUUCAACGCUAAGAACAAAAUUAUCAUUCUUUUGGAGGCUGUAGGUCUGAACUGAAUAUUUACCGACGUCCGCGUCGUGUGCUUCCUCGAUUGGAAAACGGGCUCCCUUCACUGCCGAUUCUCUGAUAUCUAUUUGGAUCAAUUCUUUACUGAACUGCGGAGAGUUAUCGUUUAUAUCCUGCACAUGUAGACUAAUCCUGUGCAAUUCUAACGGAUUCUCUAACAUCAGUUCCUGUUUCAAAACGCAGGAUGCUUUGUCUCCACAAAGGCCCUCUCUGUCGAUUCUCUCUGCAAGAAUUAGAUCCCCAUUAUGGAGGUUUAUGUCACAAAAACGUUUAUCGCUCUCCUCAGUGUCAAUUCGGGCCUUUCGGGUCGAUAGUCCGUUCGUUUGGAGACCUAAUUCCUUAACAAUAUUUCCGAUCACAGAUCCGCGUUUCAUCUCCUCCGGAAAAGAAUAGCUGAUAUCUCCAUUGGUGACAUGAAGAGAGAACAGCACCAAGCCGAGGGCAAAGCGUUGUAAUCCUAGCAUCGUGAAAGCCAUCACCAACCCGAACUGGAAUAGUAAAUACUUCUUAGUGCAGGAAAAAUGUCCGAAAAAAGGACUUCAACCAACAACAAGGAGCCUGUGUCUCUCUGGGCGAUCAACUACAUCACCUUCAGUGAUUAUAGGUUGGUAAUAGUGGGUGGAUGUCGACACACCAUGUACUACAGCUGGUGCACAGCGACAUCGUGAGUCUCCUCUAGAGACUGCAUACUGCAACAAACAGCAUGUAUGCAAACUGCACAUCUUUAAACAACCGCACAACAACAGCAGGACGAGUACGCUUGUUUCAAGGAUAUAUAAUGUUACAAAAAGUGUUCAGACAUGUUAGGAAGAUCAAACAAAAACGGUCCUUUCAAAACUAACAGAUAUGGAACCAAAAAAACGCAAAACAAUUAAGUGA